CCGUCCCAGCCUGCACCAACUGCCGCGCCUGUCCGUCCCAGCCUGCGCCAACUGCCGCGCCUGUCCAUCCCAGCCUGCCCAUCCCAGCCUGCCCUGACUGCCGCACCUGCCCUUCCCAGCCUGCCCUGACUGCCGCGCCUGUCCAUCCCAGCCUGCUCUGACUGCGGUCUCCAAACUACUGCAUACAGCUCUCCGGUCACUAUUAAAAGAGGACUUUGAACAGUUUUCGUAUGCAACCUUGAAGGCAAUACAUGGAAAAUAGAACCUGUGCAGCCCAUGGGAGAGCCAGCUCCUCCACUCAGCCCUGAGAGAAGACUACAGGGAGAGGAGCCUGUGCUGCAAUUUAGCUUAAUGCUUUAGAGAAUGUAAGCUCUCCGUGUAAGUUCCUGCGCUGCUAUUCAGUGAGCUUCAUUUUUCUUACAGAAUGUAACAUAGGAAAAGACAGUAAAAAUCACAAAUAUAA